rnacentral:rRNA from 1 species
GACGAACGCUGGCGGCGUGCUUAACACAUGCAAGUCAGGGGGCGGUGUAACCCGUCACCGGCGAACGGGUGCGGAACACGUGAGCGACCUGCCCUGGUGUGGGGGAUAGCCGGCCCAACGGCCGGGUAAUACCGCAUACGUCGCCCGCUUGGAAGCGGGAGGCGAAACUCGCAAGAGGCGCUAGGAGGGGCUCGCGGCCUAUCAGCUAGUUGGUUCGGUAACGGCGCACCAAGGCGAUGACGGGUAGCUGGUCUGAGCGGAUGGCCAGCCACAUUGGGAAUGAGAGACGGCCCAGACUCCUACGGGAGGCAGCAGUGGGGAGUAUUGCGCGAUGGGAGAAAGCCUGAAGCAGCGACGGCGCGUGGAGGAUGAGGCCCUUCGGGGUGUAAACUCCUGUUGCCCGGGACGACUGCCCCGAAUCGGCGGGGUUGACGGUACCGGGUGAGGAAGCACCGGCUAACUCUGUG